rnacentral:rRNA from 1 species
GGCGAUAAAUCAUUCAAGUUUCUGACCUAUCAGCUUUCGACGGUAUGGUAUUGGCUUACCGUGGCAGUGACGGUUAACGGGGGAUUAGGGUUCGAUUCCGGAGAGGGAGCCUGAGAAACGGCUACCACAUCUAAGGAAGGCAGCAGGCGCGCAAAUUACCCAAUUCUAACAGUUUGAGAGAGGUAGUAACAAGAAAUAACAAUACAAGGCAGUUAAAAUGCUUUGUAAUUGGAAUGAUAGAAAUUUAAACCCUUUUUAAAGUAUCAAUUGGAGGGCAAGUCUGGUGCCAGCAGCCGCGGUAAUUCCAGCUCCAAUAGCGUAUAUUAAAAUUGUUGCAGUUAAAAAGCUCGUAGUUGAAGUUCUGCUGAAAGUAACCGGUCUGCUUUUAAUAAAAGUGGUAUCUUGGUAUGUAUUUAGCAAUGAUGUCCUUUGAAGUGUUUUUUACUUUAUUGUAAUAAAGCAUAUUCAGGGACUUUUACUUUGAGAAAAUUAGAGUGUUUCUAGCAGGCUAACGCUUUGAAUACUGCAGCAU